rnacentral:lncRNA from 10 species
AAGUUUACUGUAAGUUUUUGCAGGAUCAAUAAAAUUAAAUUUACAUCUAAACAUGUUGUAUUGAAACCUAAGAACAUCAAAUACACAAACAAAAAUGCUUAGAAAGUUACCAGAGUGAAUUCAAAGUACCACCUUCAACAAAAAAACAAUUACAAUUAACACACACCUCAUUAAAAACAAAAAGAAAUAUCUGAAAGUGGUGAGGGAUAAUAGUUGUGAAACUAAGAUAUUGUAACUUGUUGAGUUAUAAGUUAUGUGCACAGGUAAAAUAGAUAUAUUUUUAGUCACAGCAUGUCUAAGAGAGUUAACUCAAAAAAAGUGAAACCAGGAAAUAGGAAACAAUGUUGAGUACAUAAACUGAUAAAAUAUUUUUAAAGUUAAAUAUAAAUUAGUGAUAUUUUAAUUUUUAAGUAUACCUAAGAUUCAGAAUACAACUGCAAAAAUAUUUCUGUUCUUGUACGUUGUAAGAAUAUAAAAUGAUUUAAAAUAUAUCAUCAAAUUUUAAAAUUAAGCAGUCGUAUUUCAAGAGGUAACCAAAAAUUAAAAAUACAAUCUAUAGCUCCCAGAGCAGCAUGGGAAAAUCAGGACAAAGGGAGAUGAGGGGAUGACAAAAUUAUAUCAAGCUACAAGAAGGCAAGAAAAGUCCAUAUAUUAUUAAUUAAUCACAAGAUAGGUGAGCAAUAAAUUUACUUAUUAAAAGAGUUUAUACAGAUUAUUAGAUUAGCAAUCCAGUUGCAUUUUACUUAUGUUCAAAAAAAUCCAGGAUUAUUUAUAUUGAAACUACAGGAAAGUUCAGUAUGAUUGCUAGGUCAAAAUAAACAGUUAAUAUUUUUUCUGUAUACCAGUAAAGAUCUAACUAGGAAAUAUAGUUUUAGAAUACUGUUCAUAGAAUUUUACAUUUCUUAAAAGUAAAUCUAGCAAAAUAUGCGAGAUCACAUGAAAAAGUUAUGAAAUAUUGAGAAGCAUAAGACAGCAUUCCAAUAAAUGGAAAUUACAAUGUUCUUAUGAACAGAAAGACUCAAUAUCUUGAAGAUGUUAAUCUGUAAAUCCAAUUAAUCUAUAAAUCCAAUGCAAUUCAAAUAAAAAAAAACAGGAAUUUUCAUGAAUAGAACAAGCUGACCCAAGAAAGCAUUGCCAUGUACGAAAGACCAAGAACAGCUAAAGUAAUUUUGAAAAACAACCAAAUAUAAUAACUUUUUUCCUGAAAAGCAUCAAAAUAUGCUAUUAAAAUUUCAUUGUAAUUAAAACAAUUUUACUUAGACCAAUAUACUGAAGGAACAGAAAAGUGAGACUGGAAAUAAACCCUCAUAUGAAUGGAAAGUGAAGUAUGAAUGAGAUAGCAUUACCAAUCAGUGUGGAAGCAGUGGUUAACUCAAAACAAUAUUGCCAAGGUAAUUGGCUAAACAGUAAUGUACCAAAUAGAAAAAAGCAUUAAAAUAGAUAGAUUCUAAUCUUGUUGUAAACCUGUGUGAAGACACACAUGCAUAAGCAUGUACAAAAUUUAUAACUGAUUAAAAGCUUAGAAAAACAUUGAAUAUUUUAGGAAAAAGGAUAACAUGUUUAUUAUUUUAAGAGAAAAUUCUUCAAUAGCAAGCAUCAUUUUUAAGACUUCAUACCACCAAAAUAAAUGUGAAUUAAGAGUUAGGAGAAGCUAAAAAUGUCAAGAAGAUUUUUAACCAACAAAGGAAGAGCAUCCAGAAUAAAUUUAGAACACUCUCCAAUUAUAAACAUAUAGACAUGGCCCCAAAUAAGAACAUUUGGAAAAUGGACAACAGUAAAGCAAAUUGGCAAUCCAUGUAAGCAAAACAUAAUUGACCAAGAAAUACCUAAAAAGAAGCUAAGCACAAAAGAAAAACUAUUUAUUUCACCCAUCAAAGUGGCAAUAUACAAAAUGCUAACAAAAAUAAGUGCUGGUGAAAAAAUGGAGAAAUGCCUUCAUUGCUGAUGCAUGUGCUCAUUGAUAAUUUCAAAGCACAAAUAGACAAAUUGGUAAAUCGAAAAAAAAGUUAUCUUCCUACCUAGCAAUUCCAUUUAGAGUUGUGCUCCUGAGAAAUUCUACAACUCACACACGUACAGACAUAUUGCAAUGCUUAUUACAGUAUUUUUUACAAGAAAAAUUAGAAACAAGCUGGGCAUGGUGGCUCUUGCCUAUAAUACUAGCACUUUGGGAGGCUGAGACAGGAGGAUAGCUUGAGCUCAGGAGGUUAAGACCAGCAUGGGGAAGAUAGUGAGACCCCAUCUCUACAAAAAAUAGAAGUAAAAAAAUUAGCCAGGUGUAUGUGUGCUUGUAGUCCCAGCUACUCAGGAAACUGAGGUAGAAGGAUCACUUGAGCCUGGGAGGUCAAGGCUGCAGUGAGCAGUGAUCAUGUCCCUGCACUUCAGCCUGAGUGACAAAGCAAGAUCCCAACCCAAGAAAAAAAAACUGGAAACACCCAAAAUAUCCAUUAUCAGAAGAUUAAAUAAGUCAAUUUUUAUAUGUUUACAUAUAAAAAUACCAAACAGCAUUUAAUGUGAGUGAAUUACAGUUAAAUUAGAGUUAAAUAUGUCAACAUGAAUAGAUCUCAAAAGCAUAAUAUAGAGUAAAAGAAAUUAAUCACAAAAUCAUAAGUGUAAUAUAGUUCUUAAAAAAUAGAAAUUGAAAACAUGCCAAUUUUAUAUCUUGCUUAUGAAUUCUUUCAUAUGUAAAAUAGUAUAAAAUACUGAAAAAUAUUUUUAAAAUUCCAUUUGGGAAGGAAUAAGUCAUGCAAGGAGAAUUAUACAAAAGGCUUGAAGAAGAUUCGUCAUUGUUAUGGGUUGCCUUUUGUUCCUCCUAAAUUCAUAUGUUGAAGUCCUAAGCCCCAGUACCUCAAAAUGUGAUUAAAUGAAACUGGUUAAAUUAAGAUGAGGUCAUAACAAAUAGGGUGAUCUCUUAAUCCGAUAUAUGUAGUGUCCUCAUAAAAAGGAAAAUUUUGGACAUGGACACACACACACAAACACACACAUACGAAGAAUGCCAUGUGAAGAUUGGCAUUUCACUUCAGCAAGGCAACAAACUCCUGGCAGCUAGGAGACAUACCUAGAGCAAAUACUUUCCUAGCACCUUCAAACAAGGAUGGUUCUGCCGACAUCUUAAUUUCAAACUUCUGGUUUCUAGAAUCGUAAGAUGACAAAUUUCUGUUGUUCAAGUCACUCAGUCUAUGGUACCUUUUCAGGAAGCCUCUCUAUAGUUUUCUCUGAACUUGAAGUUUUCAUGAUUUUGAAAAGUAAAAGGAAAGUGAAUUCCAACCUUUGUUUAGAUGUAAAUGUCUUCAGAGCGCUUAUGACCAAUUGGAAGGGCCGUCUUCCUGUUUCUUGUGUUCCCCAGGUAGCAACUGAAGAAGGUGCAGGCCAAUGAGACAUUACGUUAAUUUUUGACUCAGCAUCUUCCUUUUAGGUUGACAUAUCUGAUGUAGCUGAUAGGACUCAGAGUGACUCCCUCUGACCACCUGGUACUUCUCUCUGUCUUUUUUUUUUUUUUUCAGACAGAGUUUCACUCUUGUCACCCAGGCUGGAGUGCAGUGGCACUGAUCUUCAGCUCACUGCAACCCCCGCUUCCCAGGUUCAAGCAAGUCUCCUGCCUCAGCCUCCUGAGUAGCUGGGAUUACAGGCAUGUGCCACCACACCUGGCUAAUUAUAUAUUUUUAGUAGAGACAGGGUUUCACAUGCUGGCCAGGUUGGUCUCUAACUCCUUACCUCAGGUGAUCUGCCCGCCUUGGCCUCCCAAAGUGCUGGGAUUACAGGUGUGAGCCACCGCACCUGGCCUGGUACUUCUCUUGAAAGUGGCACUUGGAACAGCACAAACUCUUCAUCCGUAGAAAUUUCACUGGGUAUUUCAGGUGAGUUCUCCUGAAUUCAGACCUCCAAAUCUUUGACUGGAGAUCUAGACUGUAUUUGAGCUGCUUUCAAACCCUCUCUUUUUUUAAAAAAGUGAGAAUUUUGGUCUCUUCUUUAGACAGGAUUUCAGGUAAAGAGCUCUGCAGAGAACCACCUUUUAUUCUGCCUCUGUCUCACAGCAGACGUUUAGGUCAAAGGUUUGGCAAGUAGGCACCGGUGGUUUCAUUUUACAUAGCAAGCUUUUAAGAUUGCAGCUGUUUUCUAUUGCUUGAAACUUUGGAUUUAGCUUUUCAUUUGUGACCAACUCCUCUUAGUUUCUAACUGAAAAGUGUGCCCCCAUUUGCUCUUCUGCAUGAGUAUAAUAUGAGAUACCUUGAGCACUCUGCUACCAUCUCGCAGUUAGAGGCAGUCCAAGAUACAUCACACCUCAACCCUAAAUACGUUCCUGGCCUCAAUCGCUUUUGAAAAGCUUCCGAAUUAUGGAAAAUCAAACUUCAAAAUCUAAACACUUUAAAAAAAAUCAGAUGAAUUCAUGUAUAACAUUAUGGGACAUCCUUUUGUAAAUAUCUAGGAAAAUGAAGCCACCUAACCCUGAAUAGUCAUUAGAAUCAGUAUUCAAAAUAUAGAUUCUUUGAAAUGUCUGAAAUACUUUAUUUGCACACACAUUUAGAAAAACUGGUUUUAGAACCAAACUGAAUGAGAGACCUAGUUUAUAUUUGUCCUGCCUAAAAUCUGAUAAGAGAAAGCUAAUUUUCGGCUCUACUUCUAAUCUCUUUCUGCUUUUCCUCUUUUGGAUCCUGUUUCUGGGAAUUUUUUCUUUUGACUAAAACCCCCUUUUAAAUGUUUUUUGCCCCUCUGUUUGCUUACUAUUGAAACCGCCUUUGCAAAAUUAUGACUGAGACAGUGAAAGACAUCUAACUUAACCGACUUCAUCUUGCUUCUAACCUCCAAGCUGUCCUGGUUCAUUCCUGGGCAUAGGCUGAACUAACUUUGGGAGAAAUUUAGUUUAUAGUUUGAACAAAGACAGUAACAUCCCUUUCCCAAAGCAGACCUCCUUCUUGUCUCAGGACUAGAUUGCCUCUGUAGGACUAACAUUAGCCACAAGAUUAGAAAUUAUGGUUUAGGAGCCCUGCAGCUGGAGGCUAUGUGAUUCUGACCAUCCCUAAACUGCUACUAAGAUCAGUGCUUGAGAUAUUUUGCAGACUCUGCACUUGAUGGAUCAGCUGGCACCACCCAAAUCAAUAAACUGCCUCAUCUGAUCUUGUGGCCCCCACCCAGGAACUAACUCAGCACAAGAAGACAGCUUUGACUCCCUGUGAUUUCAUCCCUGGCUAAUCAGCACUCC